rnacentral:lncRNA from 1 species
UCAAAUAUUUUUUCAAAAUUUUUAAUUUGCCAAACAGCUUUUUUAAAUCACUUCAGAAAAAAUCACUUUUAUCUAAACUCCACCAAACGCUCUAUAGCUUUUAAGCACAAUCACUUCUCCAAACCAAAAUUACUUUUUCAGAAAUCACUUUUUCAGAAGCUAGGCCAAACAGGCCCAAAGUCUAACUAGUAAAAACAAAAGUAAAACAAGAAUUGGGUUGACUUAAU